AACUACGAGGAUGUGAAAGAGGGGGAAUCUUCAUUACAUAAAUAUGUGGAUAAGCUGGAAUGUUACCUAUUUGUUGUUGUGUCUCAUUGUGGAAUUAUGUUCUUCUGAAAAUCAAAUUAAAUAAAGAAGGACCUCGCAAGUCAGACUUGAGGGAAGAUCUAUUACGGUUCCAGUACAGAUAUUUAAAUUUGGCAAUUUGAAGUCUAAAGGUGGAAAAACUAUAGCAUAUCUUUUUAAUGGCCAAGUUUCAAUUGCAGAGUCAAAUUUUGCAAAUCAUGUCCACUGGAACAAUCAGACUGGAUACUUCUUUCUUCAUAACUUAAGGACAAGUGACUCAGGCAAAUAUGUCAUAGAGAUCUCUGGGGACUCAAGAAGUCAUUAUUAUUUUCAGCUAACUGUGUAUGAGGAAGUUCCCCAACCUCAGGUGUCACUGGAUGAUGAAAGCUCCUGCACGU